rnacentral:lncRNA from 1 species
CAUGACUCCCAUUGCCCUUGUUACAUCCUUUUUGUUAUGAUGUUGGGCGUCUUAUGUCUCAGGAGCAGGCCUUAGGAAACAGAAUCUCUCUGACCUUCUCCUGCCCUCAUUUAACCUACCGCAAGGCAAGACUCUAAUUUUCCCUGCCUUUCUGAUUGUGGGUCUUAAGACCCUCACUCCAAAGAGGGUCUUCCCCCAUAUCCUAGGGAGGAAGGGCAAUCAUGAAGCUUCCAUAAAAGUCCAAGAGGACUGGGUCCAGAGAGCUUCUGGAUAGCUGAACACUUGGAGCUUUUUGGAGGGAGGUGGACCCAGGAAGGGCUUAGAAGCUCUGCACCCUUUCCCCCAUGCCACACUGUACGCAUCUCUUCACAUGUAUUCUUAAGUAAUAUCCUGUAUAAUAAACUGGUAAAUGUAAGUAAGUGUUUCCUUGAAUUCUGUGAGCUGCUUCAACAAAUUAAUUGAACCGAAAGAGAGUGUGGGAACCCCAAAGUGAAGUUAAUCAAUCAGAAGUUCUGGACUUGUGACUGGUGUCUGAGGCUAAGCAGUCUGUCCGGGAUGCCUAGAGCAUAGAAAGCAUAUCAGAUAAAGGCAAGAAUGUGCAAGGCACUGAGAGCGGUAAUGAGCUUUCAUGUUGUUCACUGGAGAGGAAUUACAUGGUUGCAU